rfam:Camelus ferus unplaced genomic scaffold scaffold786, whole genome shotgun sequence.
CUGCUCGCUUCGGCAGCACGUGUGCUGAAACUGGAACGACACAGAGGUCAGCACGGCCCCUGCGCGGGGACGACACGCAGAUUCGCAAAGCGUUCCAUAUUUUU